rnacentral:rRNA from 1 species
AUUGAACGCUGGCGGAAUGCUUUACACAUGCAAGUCGAACGGUAGAGGGGGCAACCCCUUGAGAGUGGCGAACGGGUGAGUAAUAUAUCGGAACGUGCCCAGUCGUGGGGGAUAACGUAGCGAAAGUUACGCUAAUACCGCAUACGAUCUAAGGAUGAAAGCGGGGGACCGUAAGGCCUCGCGCGAUUGGAGCGGCCGAUAUCAGAUUAGGUAGUUGGUGAGGUAAAGGCUCACCAAGCCAACGAUCUGUAGCUGGUCUGAGAGGACGACCAGCCACACUGGAACUGAGACACGGUCCAGACUCCUACGGGAGGCAGCAGUGGGGAAUUUUGGACAAUGGACGCAAGUCUGAUCCAGCCAUUCCGCGUGCAGGAUGAAGGCCCUCGGGUUGUAAACUGCUUUUGUACGGAACGAAAAGGUCUCUCCUAAUACGAGGGGCUCAUGACGGUACCGUAAGAAUAAGCACCGGCUAACUACGUGCCAGCCGCCGCAGUAA